CUUCGGAGGAGUUAGCGAAAUUCCAAUGUGUGCGGAUCGGCAAAAAAUGCGAAAUAACCCUUUAACCGUACAUUUGACAGAUACGCCCGCACUGACUUUUUUGUAGAUCUUAUUGAGAUACAUGUGUGUGUCAAUUUUUGUGUCAUUUUGACAAAGCGUACACGCGUGACAGUCAAUAGUGUGAAUUUUCACCUUAGGGGGCGCUAUGGAGCCAUUUUGCAUUUUCUUGUUUGGGCGACUUCGAAAUAUCAAAUUUUUCACCAGGCCCGGUCGUCCUGCCAAAUUUCAUGAGUUUUCGCCAGUGGGAAGUGGGCCAUUUUCCAGUUCAAAGGGGAGGAAAAAUAAUAAUAAUAAUAAUAACUAGGGCCCCGUUGGGGCACUGGCGGGCCCGAGCCGCGUUGCGCCGCCCCCAGUGCGACCGCCUCCCCCUCCCGAUCGCGUCACACUCAAGGUCCAAAGAUGGUGUGCGCACUUGUCUGUGGUCAUUUCCCAUUAUAAUGAAUGGGAGGCGCAGUUUCUACCAAAACACUCGCUGCAGACAAACUACAUGUCCUAUUUGAAAAAAGUCUGGACCAUGAGUGAGGGCACAAACACAGCUAGGAUAUAUCCAAACGGCAAGUUGCUCCUCGUUACGGUGUUGCCGGGAGAGCGAUGCGAUUGAGCCAUUGAGUGAUGGGCAGGAAAAACUUGACUGUUUCUCCUGCCAUGGGGGAUGGGGGAUGGGAGGGGGGGAAAGGGAUGUGGAUUCUUUUAAGAAUGUGGAUAUUUGGGUCAUCUUUGGCGCCCCCUAGAACGUAAACCGUGGGGUGCAGCGUCAUGAUUUUUAAAAUUUGAAUGGCCAUGGGGUGUAGAUUGGCCUGAGCAAAUGUGGUGUCAGUGGGACGAAAGCCUUAGGAGGAGUUAGCCACAUUCCAAUGUGUGCUAAUCGGCAAAAAAUGCAAAAUAGCCCUUUAACCGUACAUUUUACAGAUACGCGCGCAUUGACUUUUUCCUAGAUCUUAUUGAGAUACAUGUGUGUGUCAAAUUUUGUGUCAAUAUGACAAAGCAUACAGGUAUGACAGUCAACAAUGUGUAUUUUCACCUUAUGGGACAAGAAAAAAUGGACUUUUUUCUCCUGCCAUGGGGGGCGCUCUUUUAGGGAGUAAAAAUUCCUUCACAAAUGUGUUGAUGGCUGGACAUUGCAUCAUCCUAGAAAACUUGGAGGCCAGAGAGGACAAAAAUAAAAAGUUAUAAGACUUUGAAAUAUGUGGAUUUUAGGGUUAUCUUUGGCGCCCCCUAGAACCUAAACCGUGGGGUGCAGCGUCAUGAUUUGAAUAACUUUUAAUGGCCAUGGGGUGUAGAUUGGCCUGAGCAAAUGUGGUGCCGGUGGAACGAAAGCCUUCGGAGGAGUUAGCGAAAUUCCAAUGUGUGCGGAUCGGCAAAAAAUGCGAAAUAACCCUUUAACCGUACAUUUGACAGAUACGCCCGCACUGACUUUUUUGUAGAUCUUAUUGAGAUACAUGUGUGUGUCAAUUUUUGUGUCAUUUUGACAAAGCGUACAGGCGUCAGGUGAAUUUUUCACCUUAGGGGGCGCUAGGGAGCCAUUUUGCAUUGUAUUGUUUGGGCGACUUCAGAAUAUCAAAUUUUUCACCAGGCCCGGUCGUCCUGCCAAAUUUCAUGAGUUUUCGCCAGUGGGAAGUGGGCCAUUUUCCAGUUCAAAGGGGAGGAAAAAUAAUAAUAACAAAAGAAGGAAACAUGCAGGAACAAGAGGGCUCUCGCAGCUGCUUAGCAGCUACGCUCGGGC
rnacentral:lncRNA from 1 species